rnacentral:rRNA from 1 species
UACGUAGGGUGCAAGCGUUAAUCGGAAUUACUGCGCGCAAAGCGUGCGCAGGCGGUUAUAUAAGACAGAUGUGAAAUCCCCGGGCUCAACCUUGGAACUGCAUUAGUGACUGUAUAGCUAGAGUGCGGCAGAGGGGGAUGGAAUUCCGCGUGUAGCAGGGAAAUGCGUAGAUAUGCGGAGGAACACCGAUGGCGAAGGCAAGCCCCUGGGCCUGCACUGACGCUCAUGCACGAAAGCGUGGGGAGCAAACAGG